CAGGAGCAGGGUUGAAAACUGCAUUUUCUCAUUUUGAGCAGCCUAGUGGAAAUCUGAAAGCUCAACACUUCUGCAAGCAGCCGGCCGAGCCGUCCUGCCCCGAGUGUCCAAGGAACCAGCAGCCAACAUGAGUCAACGCUCUGGGAAACGUCGGCCUGCCAAGGUCACGUGCCUCUCAAGCAACUCCAAGAGCAGCUGCCUGCUGGCCUCUACUCUUACCCAAAAUACAACCCUUCAGAUUACAAUUUCUUCAAGAGAGCACAGCACCUGAGACCAAACAGAAAUUUGUUACAAGUUCAUGGAUCUUGAAAGUAGUGAAAUCCUAGAAGACAGAAUUUCCCCAGCAGAAAUCAAGUAAACCUUCCUCAAGGUUACACUGCCCUGUGCUGAGGACAUAGACCAGGCUGAAGGAACUGGUACCUGCAAUUUCUGUGCUAAAGGAGUGCUGUUCCACCCCAGAGCAGCCCAGAGCAGAGCUGUGGUCCAAGCAAAGAGGAAAGUCAAACACAAGCAGAGGUGUAAGAGGAGGACGUUUUGGUGGCUCUGAUGAGAGAGGAAUGCCCUGGUGCAAACUGCAAUCUGGGUCACUGUGGCAGGGGAAGGAGAAGAUAAAAAGCCUCAGAUGGCUGGGGAAAGGUGUUUGGCAAGAGCCUGGGAGAUCCACCUAGAAAAAUCUGAAUCUACUAAGACAAAGGAAACUUAUGAUUCAAUUUCAAGAUGUCAGGUCAGCCAUGAAGAUAGAUAUAGACAGAGAGAAGGAGAGGUGAGAAUGCACCUCCUUUGCUUUUAAAAGAAAGGCCAGAGAAGAAGAAAAUCAACUAAAUAUAACAGCCAGUGAAAUAAGUAAAACAUCUGGGAGGUUAUUUUCUUGGUAACAAGCUAAUGUAAAUAGACCUUUGUAUUAGGUCAUAAAUGUGACUUCCACAAAGAUGU